rnacentral:rRNA from 1 species
AACGAGCGCAACCCUUGUCUUAGUUGCUACAUUUAGUUGGGCACUCUAAUGAGAUGCCGGUGACAAACCGGAGGAAGGUGGGGAUGACGUCAAGUCCUCAUGGCCCUUAUAGGUGGGGCUACACACGUCAUACAAUGGCUGGUAAAAGGGUUCCAACCCGCGAGGGGGACUAAUCCCAUAAAACCAGUCGUAGUCCGGAUCGCAGUCUGCAACUCGACUGCGUGAAGUCGGAAUCGCUAGUAAUCGUGGAUCAGAAUGUCACGGUGAAUACGUUCCCGGGUCUUGUACACACCG